CAAUAGCGUAUAUUAAAGUUGUUGCAGUUAAAAGCUCGUAGUUGGAUUUCAGUCUUAAUUCGUCUGGCCCGCUCCCUUGAGGAGCCGAGUGCCGGUUGCGAAUUGGACUUCCUUCUAGCAUGAAUCUCCUACCGUUAUGCGGCCGGGAAGGACAUCUGGAUCAUUUACUUUGAAGAAAUUAGAGUGUUCAAAGCAAGCUUACGCUGUGAAUAUAUUAGCAUGGAAUAAUAACAUAGGACUCGGGUUCUAUUUUGUUGGUUUCUAGGACUCAAGUAAUGAUUGAUAGGGACAGUUGGGGGUGCUGCUAUUAUAUGGCCAGAGGUGAAAUUCACGGAUUCAUAUAAGAGCAACUUAUGCGAAAGCAUUCACCAAGGAUGUCUUCUUUAAUCAAGAACGAAAGUUGGGGGAUCGAAGAUGAUUAGAUACCGU
rnacentral:rRNA from 1 species